rnacentral:misc_RNA from 1 species
UAACAAGGUUUCCGUAGGUGAACCUGCGGAAGGAUCAUUACCAAUUCAACGGUGUGGUCGCGGCCUCCGGGGGCUCCCCCCGGGCGGUAGAGGUAACACUCUUACGCGCCACAUGUCUGAAUCCUUUUUUUACGAGCACCUUUCGUUCUCCUUCGGUGGGGCAACCUGCCGUUGGAACUUAUCAAAACCUUUUUUUGCAUCUAGCAUUACCUGUUCAGAUACAAACAAUCGUUACAACUUUCAACAAUGGAUCUCUUGGCUCUGGCAUCGAUGAAGAACGCAGCGAAAUGCGAUAAGUAGUGUGAAUUGCAGAAUUCAGUGAAUCAUCGAAUCUUUGAACGCACAUUGCGCCCCUUGGUAUUCCAUGGGGCAUGCCUGUUCGAGCGUCAUCUACACCCUCAAGCUCUGCUUGGUGUUGGGCGUCUGUCCCGCCUCUGCGCGUGGACUCGCCCCAAAUUCAUUGGCAGCGGUCUUUGCCUCCUCUCGCGCAGCACAUUGCGCUUCAGAGGGGUGUGGGCCGCGUCCACGAAGCAACAUUAUCGUCUUUGACCUCGGAUCAGGUAGGGAUACCCGCUGAACUUAAGCAUAUCAAUAA